UCCCAUGAGACACAAUUCUUCAUUUUUUGAUCUGCUGUCUGGACCUGGGACCCUGUUCCUGACUGGACUGACACAUGGAACUGUUCUUGAAUAUCUGCUGAAGGGAAAGGAAGAUGACCACAUGGAAGCUAUGUUAAAAGUCAAAAUGGAGAAACAUACCCAACUCCACAGAGAUGGGAUGCUUAUACGAGAUGAAGACAGAUGCCCAAGGAAUGAAGUGAGUUUUGAGUUUGCUUGUUAUAGGAUACCUGGAGCUGAAAAAGAGACAUCAGGACUGCUUUCAAAUGUACAAGUUGUGGAAUUUUCCACGAAUGCAGGGUACUAA
rnacentral:lncRNA from 1 species